UUCAUUUAUAGUGCUUACACUCCCCCUAUUCUCAUCGGAUCAGAAUGUAGUCUUCAAUUUCAAGACAUUUUCCUUAGAGGGAAAAAUAAAUAAACAACCAGGAAGUCAAAACGUGGCUUACUUCUACGGAAUUCCAUACUCCUUGCCACUCAUUCUCAACAACAACCCACAAUUUUAUAAACGACCCGUUGAAAUCCACGGCCGUGUAAUGAAAGGAACCUUCCAAACGAGGACCGACAACCCUGACUUGUGUCUGGGAGAAAAAGGAAUUCCAUUCUCAGGAAAAUACUGUUUGGAUUUCGACUUGUUUGUUCCGACUAACGACGAAAGUCAAAAACAGCAAAUAAAUUGUUACAAGGACAAACCCGCGUCCUUUGCUUUUGUAUGGCAUGUGGACGUUCUUGACAGAGACCGUCGGGGUCUGACUGAGGACGCUUUUAGGCUUGUUAGGGAGAGUGGGGCACUAGUCUACAUUGUCUACUAUCGGUCGGGUUUUUUGGGGUUUUUAAAGUAUUUUUUGUGAUUUAAUAAGUAUUAUUCCUGAAUUUGAAAAUCUGGGGUUCGAGGAUUUAACCAUGGCCAAUUUAAGGAUUAUUCAGUUGAGCAAACUUUUCUGUGUGUCAAUGGAGAGGAUUUUCUACAGUGGACAUUACAGUAGUGCCACAGAUCUCCUAUACUUGGCGAUGACUGAACGUUUGUAUUCGGGAUAUUACGCUUUGUUUGGACCAUCUCUGGUACUCGACUCCACUUUCCUCGCCUCCCUUCAAAGCACCAAACUUUAUGCUUACUACAACUGUACAGAGUCUUCCUGUCUAAGAAACAAACUUAAAAACGUGAAAAAAAUUUCCGAUUUGAAAGCGGUUGCUAAUUCUGUCGGUCCCUGGUUUCCCAGUGCAAAGACAGACCAACAGCCAUUCAAGAACCUUUUUUUUCUUCGUGUGAUUUACGGUUGGAAUUUGAAAUUAUUUUUUGGCUUUUCUUUCUGUGAUGGAUGUGGAAUGGCCAGACAGUGGUACUCAGGAGACAAUUACCCGCCCGUUUCUGAGCAAGAUUUGAGUACCGCUUUGAGUGCAGUGCUGCUUAAA